CAGCAGCCGCGGGAACACGUAGGGUGCAAGCGUUAAUCGGAAUUACUGGGCGUAAAGCGUGCGCAGGCGGUUUGUUAAGACAGAUGUGAAAUCCCCGGGCUCAACCUGGGAACUGCAUUUGUGACUGGCAAGCUAGAGUAUGGCAGAGGGGGGUGGAAUUCCGCGUGUAGCAGUGAAAUGCGUAGAUAUGCGGAGGAACACCGAUGGCGAAGGCAGCCCCCUGGGCCAAUACUGACGCUCAUGCACGAAAGCGUGGGGAGCAAACAGGAUUAGAUACCCGUGUAGUCCCUGUCUCUUAUAC
rnacentral:rRNA from 1 species